ensembl:lncRNA
AAAAAGCUGGACAAUCAAAUAUUACACAGUGUUUAACACUUGGUUUUCAUUCCGCCGCGCGGUGUUAAUUGCUCCUGCGCCGCCUGCCACCAGUGGUCCUUUAUGAAAUGACUUUUUGAAUUGAAGCAUAUGGACGAGGAGGCGCGGCGGGAGGCAGCAGGACGACUGGAGGAAGGGUCCCAUUAAAUAAGAGCCGGCUAAUUACUUUGUCCUCCCUUUUGUCCUGCGCUAUCCGGCCCUUGCCGUCGUUCAUAUAUCUUGCUGUAAUGAGUAACGCCAGAGCCCCGGCACCUGCGCUCGGUAAUUAAACAUAUAAAUUCUCCCCAAGCGGAAAUAUGUGAACUCACCAGGCUUGAUUUAUAAGGCCUCUAAAUGCACUGUUGAGCUUAUUUUCAUGGGCUGUUGUAGGAAGAGAGAGUCGUUCAUCAGCUCCAUGCUUUCACAACACUUGUCAAGUUCCUUUGUUGCCAUUGUGGCUGUUUGUGUUGUGGGUGAACGUGCUGACCAGGGGGGGGGAGUAAAGACAUCCACAGCUCAAAUCUCGUGUGGUAAGCAUGGAAACGUCUCAUAGUUGAUGCUUUUAAUUCUUAAUUUCCUUAGAUAACUGUUUACGUGGGUCAUGGCAUCGCAUUAUUCGUGGGAGUACGUGUAUCGCUGCGUUCCCUUUAGGCAACAAAACCACUUACACUGCAAAGCGAUAGAUUCCAUGCCGAGUCAAUAAACAGGCGAAAAUGCUUGUGGAGGAAGCAAAUUUUCAACGGGCAGCGCGUAGAACACGGACGACGCAAAACAAUGGACUUCGCCAAUCAGCGUUGAGAUGCUCCACUCGUCAUCACCGCCGUCCUGCUGCCACAGCGGGAAUACGCUUUAGGAAGCUGCCAGAGACACACUGACGGCCUGUAAGUUAGUUAGUGUCUAACCAGAGACGCAUGAGGUCAUCGGAGGAGUAGUCGGUCCUCGGGGGUCAUGUGGUGAUGUUUCUGUGAUGGCGGACAAGUUACUGCAGCUAGUGUUGUUUUUGCCUUCUUCAGCCCAAAAGACGAUCUAACAUCUGUUUGAGUGACAGGUCACGAUAGAGCUGUGUUGGCCUUCUAACUCAGACCCACUGAAGAUCUACAACUGGUUUUAUUUCAUAUAAGCAGACUCCGUGAAGCAGCACAGGGAACCGUACGGGCCUCGUCCUCCUCCACGGCUGAUGGAAUUCCCUAUUAGCCAGCUGGGAGUCUCAGUGUGAAUGUGCUGUGUUAAAACCUAAUCUACGUCAUAAUUAACUGGAUAUACUUUACAUUUAGAAUGGGAUCGGCCAUAUCGGUAAUAAAACCCCACGUCCACCUUUUUAACCCUGUGUUCCCCCCUCAUCCCCUCUCUCUUUAUUCUUUUCCUUCGAUGACAUUUCUUUAUCUGGUUUGCAUUAUUUUUUCUGUUCCUUGUUCAAUUUCUUUUCUUUUUUUUUUGGGGGGGGGGGGGGUGGGUGUUUGGACGAGGCCUGCAGCUUUCACAGCAUUUUCUGACACUUUUGUUAAUAAAUCAUUGGGAAAGUUAAUGAAAACGGCAUUCAGGCAUAUCCAAAAUGAUUGUGUUCUUUGUCAUGCUAAUAAAGUGAAAGAUGUUCGUCCAAUGGCUGAACGCCUGCACAUUACCAGCAACUUCUGAUGCCUGCGUGCCUGUUGCGCCUCGCUCUUUUCCCUCUUUCUCUGUUGUUGCCCUCUCUCCUUCUUAGAGACAAUUGUUUUCACAUAUUCCUCCUGUAGUUCAUCAAGCUUUUGGGUCGCUUUGACAUCAAUUUGACGUCCAUUUUUUUACCUCUCCUGUCUCCAUUUACCACCGUUGGGUCUUGGUUUUACAUACAAGGGAUUUGCAGGAAUGAAUCAAAAGUUGGCAGCUUCAGCCAGCGGUGCCAUACAGGAGGAGACCAUCUACAGUAUGUAUCAAACCACCAACAAUGUCUUUAAGGUGCUGAUUUAAAAUAAAGGAAAAGUCCAUGGACAAGAAUAUCUAUGUCCACAGUGAGAAAGAAAGUUUUUCACAAUUGACUUGACUCCAUUUAAAAUGCAGAGUUAACUUAGCAGUAGCGCACGUACCACGCAAUGAAAACCUUCGGAUCAAAUAAGAAAUUCAUGGAUCAAUUUGUCAGCGAACACAUGUAGUUUAUCAGAGUAUCUUCACAAAAUGAAUUCCAUUGGUCAAAGAAGUAAAAAAUAAAGUGCACUGGCAAACAGAUGGCCAUACUCUACUUGUUGUGGGUGUAUGUGAACAAGUGACAAGUGUAUGUGCAUGUGGAGUGAAGGGAGUGACCGGUGGGAUGUCAGAGUCAGUCAGUGGGGGACCGGCUCUGUUGAUGAGCCCGACUGCCGACGGGAAGAAACUGUUGGUGUGGCGGGAGGUCUUAGUCCUGAUGGACCUCAGCCUCCUGCCAGAUGGAAGGGGCACAAACAGGUUUUGUCCGGGGUGAGAGGGGUCGGCUACCAUCUUUUUAGCUGCUUCAGGGUCCUGGAAGCGAACAAGUCCUGCAGGGACGGCAGAUUGCAGCCGAUCACCCUCUCUGCAGAGCGGAUGACCCGCUGCAGCCUGCCCUUGUCCUUGGCUGUGGCUGCAGCGUACCAGACGGUGAUGGAGGAGCAGAGGAUGGACUCCAUGAUGGCCGUGUAGAAGUGGACCAUCAUCGUCUUUGGCAGGUUGAAUUUCUUCAGCUGCCUCAGGAAGAACAACCUCUGCUGAGCCUUCUUGGUGAUGGAGCUGAUGUUCAGCUCCCACUUGAGGUCCUGGGUGAUGAUGGAGCCCAGGAAACGAAAGGAAUCCACA